UUAUCUAAUAAGUCUAAUCGAUUACGUGCCGAUUCUGACUCGUAUCUGGACAAUUUCUUAGGAUGGUAACCAAUUACACAAAAUAUGUAACCAAUUAUAGACGUGUUAUUACUUGAAAAUAACCAUGUGGUAGUCGGUUACAGACACAAUGUAAUUGGUUUCAGGCAUGUGCGAAAGUAAUUUUCACUUCUUUUCUCACGUUUUAUCCAAUUCUAACCUCAUACAAUGUUUUAACACAUCAAAUAAUCCACAUAUCAUAAAUUCAAAUAAAUCAAACAUGUUUUUUUCAUGGAUUCAGUUCCCAUCCAUCAUACAAUCAACCUAGUGGUUCUAAUUUCAAAUCAAAACCUAUGGAGGAACUCACCUUUAGAAAAAACUUGAAUUAGAGGUAAUGAUAGGAAGAUGAUGAUUCAAGCUUUUCAAUUUUAUUCUCUUUAUUCCAUGACUCUAAAACUUGAUCAAGCAAACAAGCUCUCCAACUUUGACCAUCCAUUUCUUCUUCUACUCACCCUAACUUCGGCUUGAGAGGAUAAUGAUGAUGACUUGAUGACACAGUCAAACAAAUUUGAUUCUUUUCACAAGGUACUCCAAUAAAAACAAUCUUCUACAAGGACUUAGGAUUCUCACACAUGCAAUGAAUCACUUCAAGAAGGAGCAAGUUAUCUCUCCUCUUCUUCAUUCUAUCCACCCGUCUCUCUCCCAC
rnacentral:lncRNA from 1 species